AUGAAAAUUUGUAUUAUGUUCUGUAUUGUUGUCACUUUUAAAUCCAUUCAACCAUGCAUAGUUUUGUUUUACUUGGUGUGAGGGUUUUAUGGAUCAUUUCUGAUAAUUUAUUGAUUGUUGUUUGGCGUGUACCUGUCGUACUUAAUUUGGGUAAUUUAGCACCUAAAAGCUAAAAAAAUAUUUGUUACUUUGAUCUGUUUGUACUUUUAUUGUGAACUGUCCUGUAUGUAAGCUGCAAGACAUUUUCAAUGCUGGUGUCAUCUCCUGACGCGAAUCUUGUUGAAUUAUAGCUAGUGGAGGUUACUAGAAUGUUGGGAAAAUUCAUAUAUUAGUAGAUAAAAGGCAGAAACUUAGGGGCCGUAACUUUCACACACAUUCUCCAAACUGCUAGAUGGCUUGGUCAUGGCAUACUAGUAAUAUGUUCAAUUGAUGAGGUUUAUCUUUUCUGAUUCACAUGUUUAGCAUUUGCUAUUUGCCUAUUUCAGCUUUCUUGAUAUGGUCUCUAUCUCUUUGUUCAGAAUGUUAUUUUAUUGCUAAUAGCACGAUGAUAUAGUUUAUGUAGGCUUAUGCACCCUUCAUGUUUCUAUCAAGAAGUUUGGAUGGUGGGUAUGUUUAUUGUGUUUAAGAAAUAUAUGACGAUUGACCUUUGUGAAACGUAGACUAAUGUUGGAAACAAUAGUUGUUGCAUUGUGGGUCCUGUGAUUAAAUGCUUUUCUGUAUUCUGGAUUGUGAAUCUUCCUGGCACAUUUUGUGACGGAGUUGAAGAAAAUAACCACAGUUGGGUCCAACGAGAUUAAAAGAUUACCUUUCACAUUGUUGCUUACAUACAAAUUGAACAGUGCAACAUGUGUUUCCCACCGGUUAAUGUAGGGAAUUCGAAAUUAUCUUGCAGCACCCAUAAGCAUUAACUGAGUUAUUAUUUUGGGGAGGUCGAUCUGGUGCUGAUAAGUUAUCUCUCCCUUGAUCUUGCCAACUGCUUUACUUUCAGUUCUAAUUACUUAGUGAGAGGUUCAAAGGGAGCUUAUGUUAUCAAUUACCUUGGAUAAGUGGUGAAUGCAUGUGGUUGUUAUGUACUUCAGUUAGCUGCUGUGCAUACUCAUGUUAAAUGGAAAGAGGCAUUCUCGUAUGAGAGCCAAAAUUGAUGAUAACAUGCACUGUGCUGAAUCCGGGCUUGGGCUGCUUUAUUCAUUGCCGCGGUGACACUCAAAGGGUGUGGUGCAUGGGGAUUUGCAGCUGCAGAGUGCUGAGGCAAAAGGGAAAAGCAUAGGAAUUAAUGAAGGCUAGGUAAAUUGUGGCCUUGACAAGAAAAGGAAUAAAAGGUAAACCCUGUGGAGAUGGGAUUCUUUGAAUAUGCAAGCAUUUGAGAAAGAGGAGACUUGCGGAAUAGAAUAGAAGCUUUUGGUUUUGUCAGGUUGUGCUCCGGAGCAAGAUUGGAAAUAAAGCCAUGUUUUCUACUGUGCAAAUGAUUGGAGGAUCGAUUAUUAAUGGUCCUAACCAUGCACAGAGUUUGAUAAAGGCUUGGCUCAACAAAAAAGAAGGCUUAUCAUCAUCAGAGAAUCUUGUCGUGGGACACACGACCCGACUGAACUUGACCGGGUAGUUUGUAGUUUCGGCAAUUUCCACCUCGGCUGUGCUCAAGACUUUAUUUACAUUUCAAUGAUAUUUUUAUAACUCUUAAAUAUAUAUAUAUAUAUAUCUUUUCCAUUAAAAAAAUUAAUCUCAUGUAAAGCUAACGAGUGGGUCAUGCUAAGUUUGGGGCUCAAAUAAAGUUUUCUUUUGGCUUUAUUUC